ensembl:snoRNA Snord100 small nucleolar RNA, C/D box 100
GCUGCACAUGAUGACAACUGGCUCCCUCUACUGAGUCGCAGUGAGGAAACUGCCAUGUCACCCUUCUGACGCUGC